AUUGAACGCUGGCGGCAUGCCUUACACAUGCAAGUCGAACGGUAACGCGGGGCAACCUGGCGACGAGUGGCGAACGGGUGAGUAAUGCAUCGGAACGUGCCCAGUAGUGGGGGAUAGCCCGGCGAAAGCCGGAUUAAUACCGCAUACGACCUACGGGUGAAAGGGGGGGAUCGCAAGACCUCUCGCUAUUGGAGCGGCCGAUGUCAGAUUAGCUAGUUGGUGGGGUAAAGGCCUACCAAGGCGACGAUCUGUAGCUGGUCUGAGAGGACGACCAGCCCCACUGGGACGGGGACACGGCCCAGACUCCGACGGGAGGCAGCAGUGGGGAAUUUUGGACAAUGGGCGAAAGCCUGAUCCAGCCAUGCCGCGUGCGGGAAGAAGGCCUUCGGGUUGUAAACCGCUUUUGUCAGGGAAGAAAUCUUCUGAGUUAAUACCUCGGGAGGAUGACGGUACCUGAAGAAUAAGCACCGGCUAACUACGUGCCAGCAGCCGCCGUAA
rnacentral:rRNA from 1 species